UCCCCGCCUGGGGAGUACGGCCGCAAGGCUGAAACUCAAAGGAAUUGACGGGGGCUCACACAAGCGGUGGAGCAUGUGGUUCAAUUCGAAGCAACGCGCAGAACCUUACCAGGGUUUGAAAUGCACGGAUUAGCCUCCCGAAACGGAGGUGACGCCCUUGGGUGGAACGUGCACAGGUGUUGCAUGGCUGUCGUCAGCUCGUGACGUGAGAUGUCGGGUUAAGUCCCUGAACGAGCGAAACCCUUGUCGUUAGUUGCCAGCGGGUCAUGCCGGGGACUCUAGCGAGACUGCCGUUGUCAAAACGGAGGAAGGUGGGGAUGAAGACUAUAC
rnacentral:misc_RNA from 1 species